rnacentral:rRNA from 1 species
ACGCUCGACACCUACGGGGGCAGCAGUGGGGAAUAUUGCACAAUGGGGGAAACCCUGAUGCAGCGACGCCGCGUGAGCGAAGAAGUAUCUCGGUAUGUAAAGCUCUAUCAGCAGGGAAGAAGAUGACGGUACCUGACUAAGAAGCACCGGCUAAAUACGUGCCCGCAGCCGCGGUAAUCUGAGCGGGCUGGCAAGGC